CUGCAGACUAGUUGUGCCUUCUGGUUGCCUGCUCAAGUACUCAACUUUAAGUUUGUACCUCCUGCUUACAGAAUAGUGUAUAACGGAGCAUGUGGAUUUAUCUGGGCAAAUAUACUCUGUUUGUUGAAAAGACAGGGAGAAGGGAAAUCAGAUUAAAAUGUAAAUAAUAAUCGAUAAAUGUAGUUUUUCAUAACUAAUACAUUUUUGAAAAAAGAAA
rnacentral:lncRNA from 1 species